AAACGAUGUGUGUGUGAGCGGGGAUGUAUAGGAUCAGUACGCUACUGUGUGUGUGUGUGUGUGUGUGUGUGAGUGUAAAGCGGAUGAUUUAAAGCCGAUGAACGGGCCCUGGCCACAGGAAGAAUCACAGAAAGAUGCAGCACACAGGAUUUUGUUUUGUUUUCCAUCCCCAUGUGCUCCGUGACCCAGUUUCCCCAUUGUUUGAUUGUGUUCAUGUGAUUCAGGUGUGUCGAGUUAAUUGUCUUCAUUACCCCAUAAAUUUAAGUCCCAGUCUGUGCGUUCAGUUUUUGUUUGGUCUACAUUAUGUACGUGUCUUUUCUCCUGUUCCUGGUUUGGACUGCCCCUUGUGUGGAUUCAUUAAAGAUUGUUUAUUUUAA